UACGGAGGGUGCGAGCGUUGUCCGGAAUCAUUGGGCGUAAAGAGCGUGUAGGCGGCUUUACAGGUCCGUUGUGAAAACUCGAGGCUCAACCUCGAGACGCCGGUGGAAACUGCAAAGCUAGAGUCCGGAAGAGGAGAGUGGAAUUCCUGGUGUAGCGGUGAAAUGCGCAGAUAUCAGGAAGAACACCCGUGGCGAAGGCGGCUCUCUGGGACGGUACUGACGCUGAGACGCGAAAGCGUGGGGAGCGAACAGG
rnacentral:rRNA from 1 species